rnacentral:tRNA from 1 species
GCCGGGGUGGCCGAGUGGCGAGGCGGCGGACUGCAGAUCCGCUCUACGGGGGUUCAAAUCCCUCCCCCGGCU